CCAGACUCCUACGGGAGGCAGCAGUAGGGAAUCUUCGGCAAUGGACGAAAGUCUGACCGAGCAACGCCGCGUGAGUGAAGAAGGUUUUCGGAUCGUAAAACUCUGUUGGUAGAGAAGAACGUUGGUGAGAGUGGAAAGCUCAUCAAGUGACGGUAACUACCCAGAAAGGGACGGCUAACUACGUGCCAGCAGCCGCGGUAAUACGUAGGUCCCGAGCGUUGUCCGGAUUUAUUGGGCGUAAAGCGAGCGCAGGUGGUUUAUUAAGUCUGGUGUAAAAGGCAGUGGCUCAACCAUUGUAUGCAUUGGAAACUGGUAGACUUGAGUGCAGGAGAGGAGAGUGGAAUUCCAUGUGUAGCGGUGAAAUGCGUAGAUAUAUGGAGGAACACCGGUGGCGAAAGCGGCUCUCUGGCCUGUAACUGACACUGAGGCUCGAAAGCGUGGGGAGCAAACAGGAUUAGAUACCCUGGUAGUCCACGCCGUAAACGAUGAGUGCUAGAUGUAGGGAACUAUAAGUUCUCUGUAUCGCAGCUAACGCAAUAAGCACUCAGCCUGGGGAGUACGACCGCAAGGUUGAAACUCAAAGGAAUUGACGGGGGCCCGCACAAG
rnacentral:rRNA from 1 species